rnacentral:rRNA from 1 species
AGCAGCCGCGGUAAUUCCAGCUCCAAUAGCGUAUAUUAAAGUUGUUGCAGUUAAAAAGCUCGUAGUUGAAUUUCGGGAUCAGUACGCUGGUCGUGCCUUUGGUAUGUACUGGUGUCACUGAUUCCUCCCUUCUGAAGAACCGUUAUGCCAUUUAUUUGGUGUGGCGGGGAAUCAGGACUGUUACUUUGAAAAAUUAGAGUGUUUAAAGCAGGCUCGCGCUUGAAUACAUUAGCAUGGAAUAAUGAAAUAGGACGUUUUGAUCUUAUUUUGUUGGUUUCUAGGAUCGACGUAAUGAUUAAUAGGGAUAGUUGGGGCAUUAGUAUUCAAUUGUCAGAGGUGAAAUUCUUGGAUUUAUGAAGACUAACU